rnacentral:lncRNA from 1 species
GUAAGGCCAGAUGCCUCAUUUUCUAAAAUUAUCUUUUAAGCUCCUUGCCUGUUUAAAAUAUAGAAAAAUGUGUUUGUGAAAGUAAACAACUUCCAUGCCUCAGCUUUUCUUUGGUAGGGAAUAAUUAUCUGUGUUUAAAACUAUUAAAAGUUCUGGGUAAAUUUUAAAUUCCAGGUGGUUACAGAAGAGGGCUACUUUCUUUGAAGUUUUCUGUGCAAUCCAAUGGCUAAGGACUGGUCAACCAUCACAUUAUCAUUUCAACAAACUCUGUAAUAACAGAAAUAAGUGAAUACUACUGUUAUCUCUGUCUUACAGGUUGAUUUUUGAGUAGUGAACCAGCUUUGCAUUCCUGGGCAAUGCUUCCACACAGGACAUAGUUCAGAAGGCAUUAGAAGGCAUAGAGUAAAAAGAUGCAUUCCUUUGAUUGAAUUUAAAGUCAAGCUUGUGCUUCUGGAUGGCUGCUUUGUCAGUGAACACUUGGAUUUGGAAAAUACAGCACCUGGGUUGGUUUUGAGAGAAAAUGGUUUCAACUUUAUAAUUACAGUUUUAACCACCACAACAACAAAAUUAGGAUGGUAGUGAAAUGGAACUAAAUCAAAUGCAAGGUUUUAGUUUAAUAGAACAAUGUCAUCCUUUAAUAAUCUUUAAAGAAGAACAACUAAAUAACCAAUAACAAAAUUGAAAUAGGUCAACUUUUAUCUAAAUUCCAUAGAAUCUAUAUACUCUAUUGUCCAGUUGAAGGAAAGGCUGCUGUUAUACCUUAACAGUUGUUAUUAAAAUUUUGAAGUUAUUUAAUGGUCUUUUAAAAUUUAUUUUAAGUAGUGUGAUUUUAACGUAUAGAGAAAAUAUUCACACUUUGUAUAGUUCCUAAGAGAUGAUUAAACAGGUAGAAAUAAAAAAUAGGAAAUAAAAUGAAAUAUAGAGCAUAAUUUCUACCACAAAUCUUUUUCCUUAAAACUAUCUCUGUCCUGGCCACAUAGAAAAUUAUUAUAAUCAUACAAUGCAAAAGUGAUCUCUAGCUAGUUAAAAAAUAGAAUAUGAUAGGGCUAACUUCUUUGAAAAUGUAAAUAUUAAUAUUACUCAAAACAGGUUAUUCUAGGGCUAGACUUUAGUAAUUCAUUUCCAUUUUGGACAAAUGUUUUACUUUGUCUUAAAUCCAUUUGAGGUUCUUGUUGUGCAUAAGUGGUUGGUUGGAUUUUUAGGGUUCCUGAGAGGAAAGGGUUGAGGAAUAUAAAAUUCACAUUUGUACUUUUGGUAGUGGUAUAGGAAAUAAACCUUUAGAGAAAGGGGGAAUUCUUUGUCAAAUAGCAAUUGGAAUAUAAAUAUGAUUAUAAACAUAUUGGUGGAAAAAUCAUCUUUCUUAUAAGUGGAAUUAAGAGCAUAUUGUUGGAUGGUAUGACAGAAGCAAACUCCUCCCACAGAAUAGUAGAGGCUUAUGAAUAGGCAGGGGUAGUCAUAAAAGGAAACAAUAUCUUAGUUUAAGGCAUUUAAUUGCAAAAGGAGAACACAAGUGUGGAAUACACUAAAGACCUCUGAUUCCCAGUGUUCUUAAAUAGCAAAAGAAACUCUAGAACUUUGCCUCUAAGGUAUUACAAGAACUUUGUCAAGUUGCACAUGAGAAAAUAGAGCCCAUAGCCAUAUAGUAAGCAAAAAAAUUCUGUUUGAGUAUUGACAUGACAGUUUUUGAAAGUUCAAGCAGAAAACCAAUUAUAAUGAGCACUGGAAAGCCCGGAGCCCUGCUGUUCAAUAAAUAAAAAGUACAACAAACUAUUUUCCAAAAAGGUUCUAGAGAGUUUCUUCUUGUCCCACUACUUACAAUCUGAUUACAUAAAUAGUCUCUAUUUGCUGUUGAAUUGCCAGGCAGCUGUAUUAAAGUACAAAUCAAAUCAAGUCAGGAUUAGAAAGUAAAAGAGCAUGGUUUAAAGUAAUCUAUCCCCCAGGAACUGUGCUCAGAUUCAUCAAACAGAGCUUAAAGUACAGUAUAUCUUAUACCCUUGUGUUUCCAUGCUGCAUUGCUGCAAAACCAGUUAUUAUUUUUGAUAUCCAGAAAAUGUUGCUUGUUGCUUGAAGAAGGCUCACUUGCUUAUUUAAAGGUACUAUUCAUAUGUGCCACUUAUUUAUUACUUCUUUUGGUUAAGAUUCAUGGGGAGGACAUAAGUACUAAAGACUAGUAGGCUUUUUAUUGAUCAUAUCCUAUCUGGCUUAGCUGUGAACUGUCAUGAAUAUUUCUUAUAGAUAGAAUGACUAAUUUAUUCCAGAUUUUAGGUAAUAUACAAUAUGAUGGUAUUAAAGAAAAGCUAUAGGUCUUUAGAUGCUAUUGGCUAAUAAAGUAUUAUGUAUACCUGCCCUUAUAAAUCCUGCUCCAUCUAAUUAUGACCGAAAAAAAACGAUUUAAUCAUUUCAACUUGUAAUUGUUUUUGAUGAAAAGCUCUAUACGUAGUUGUCAAUGUACUCAUCUUAGUCAUCAAUUCUUGUAUAGUUAUAAAAUUUGUUACCUUAAAGUAGAAUGAACAUAAUUAAAUAUUUAUAGUGAUAUCAAUGAUUAUUUUCUUCUUUAUUCUUAUAGAACAAACUUAUUUAAAUCUACAAAUAUAAAUUUCUGUUUCAUCAUAUUCCUUGUAUCUAUAUAAUAGCUAAAUAUCUAUUCAGAGACAUUAUAGUGGCUUCAGUUAUCAUAUUCUAUAUUUAUCUCCACAGGGCAUAAUGUAGCCUGUGAAGAUACCUAGAUAUUGAUUUAUAGUGAUAAAUAUAUAUUUUAUGUGUAACAUGGAGGAGAAAACACGCAAAAGUGUUAUUUCUGUGAGCUGAACAGCUUCAAGAAAAUGGGUAAUGUGUGCUUUAACCAGACAACCCAAUGAUCAUUUUUCUUCUUACAUCCCUAAGCUAGGGAAGAAGAAGUGGAUGGUUGCCAUUAGUUAACAUUUCUCUUGUAAGGAGCUCCACUUGCAAACUAUGCCACAUUAAAACAAGCAUUCAGAUUCAUGAUUGGGCACCAGAAUGUUGAAAAUGCUGGCUCCUCCCCAUUGCAGUCUGAGGCUUUUUAGCCCAAUUUAAAGUUUAGUUCUCUGCACUUUGCUAACCUAAUCAUUACCACUGACACAGAUCACCUGUAGUGCAAUGUAACUCAGUUACUUGGCAGCUAAAGGAAG